GCAUCGAUAGCUCAGUGGCAGAGCGAUGAGGAGUAGACUCAUGCGGCCCGAGUUCAAGCGCCGACCGAUGCA